rnacentral:lncRNA from 1 species
GUUUACAGAGGGUGCCACCAUCGCUUGAUAGACGAGCGGCAGCUGGCUUGUGUGUGUUGUUGUGAACAGAAUGAGAAGAGAGGGAUGAGAAUCGAGCACCCGGAGGCGGCCGCUCCACCGGAGAUAUGUGUCGGUCUGUAAGAGGAGAUUAGGGGGGAGAGAGAGAGAGAAAGAUGGAGAGGGUUCCACACAGCGGGAUAGGAGAAGACGACCACCGCCAUUUAACUCCUCCACCCUUCACCGCCUUCUCAUCCUCCAUGGACCACCGUCAUUUAAGUCCUCUGCUGCCUUCUCCUCCACCCUCCAACACCAUUUAACUCCAUAACCAUAGGUAUAUUUUCUAGAUUUCUUAGGAAAAAAGUUUGAAAUUUUUUUCAUUUGUGCGCUUCUCAAUUUGUGGCGUUUUUGGUCAAAUUUGUGGGAUUCCGGCGAUGUUGUUUGAUUGGAGCGAGAGAAUGACAAAGGCAAGGGUGGGCAAGUCGAAGAUUGGGUCGGAGAGAGAGUUUUGGGACAGAUUUGCAAAAAUUUUCCGAAGAGGUUGGGAAGGUCGGAGAUUGGCUUUUCUGUUGUUGCUUAACGAACAAAUCUGUAGAAAUUUGCAGAAUUGCUUAACGAAUAAAUUGUUGCUUUAAUGGUGGCGAGGUUCGAAUAAUUGUUUGACGG